GAUGAACGCUAGCGGCAGGCCUAACACAUGCAAGUCGAGGGGCAGCACAGAAACAGCAAUGUUUUGGUGGCGACCGGCGGACGGGUGCGUAACGCGUAUGCAACCUACCUUUAACAGGGGGAUAACGGAGAGAAAUUUCCACUAAUACCCCAUAACAUCGAUCAAGGCAUCUUGAUUGGUUGAAAACUCCGGUGGUUAAAGAUGGGCAUGCGUUGUAUUAGGUAGUUGGUGAGGUAAUGGCUCACCAAGCCUACGAUGCAUAGGGGGACUGAGAGGUUAGCCCCCCACACUGGUACUGAGACACGGACCAGACUCCUACGGGAGGCAGCAGUGAGGAAUAUUGGUCAAUGUGUGCAACCCUGAACCAGCCAUGCCGCGUGCAGGAAGACGGCUCUAUGAGUUGUAAACUGCUUUUAAACAGGGAUAAAGCACAGUAUGUAUACUGUGUUGAAGGUACUGUAAGAAUAAGGAUCGGCUAACUCCGUGCCAGCCGCCGCCGUAA
rnacentral:rRNA from 1 species